CACCUGGUUGUCCUAGAUAUUUCUCUGUGUAUGCCAUAUCAUUUCUUUCUUAUCUGUAUGCCAUAGCAUCUCACUUUUUUUCUUUUCAAUUUCUCAUCAUCUUCAUCCGACCAUUAGCAGAUUUUUCAUGUUGGAUUGUUAAUGUUACUACUCGAUUAAGGAUUUCUUUUGUAGCUGUCAGCUUUGCCAGUCGCCCAUGACAAAUAGAAGACAAUGACUCCUUUAUUCUCCAGCUAUAAAAUAGGUUCAACAUCUGCUGCAUCUUGACUUCAAAAAUUAUUCAAAACAUAGGUUUGCACAAAUCAUUUGCUAUAUACUGUCAUAUUUUAAUUGUAGACCCCCCUCUCUCCUUCAAUCACUUUUUCUACUUUUCUUCCUCAAAAUUGUUCUCAAUGUGCAGAUCUUACAAAAAGUAAAAAAUCUACCAUCAAUAUUAGCCGGCUACGCUUUGAUUAUGCUCAGUUGAAAAAAAAAAUUAUACGUUCUGGGGUGUUAAAAAGUUUCAAUAUGAAACUCUCAAAUUUUGUUGUGGAGGUACGAUCAAGUUAACUUCUCAUAUAAUGUCAGCUAAUCUAAGAAGUUUAUAUUUGAGAAAUGAUGUCGAAUCCAAGCAUUUUCAAACAUAUAUUUGAACAUAUAAUAAUUUGUUCGCGUUUAUAUUGCUUCGUGUUAAUUAUGCUAAAUAAUUAGCGUGAAGAGAUCAUGGUAUCUACACAUUCAAAGUUCAAGGACAAAUGUAUCACUUGAUAACUAACUUAUAUCUCAAAGAAAAAAGGUCUAAGAAAUUUACAACUAUUCUUUUAUGACAACACAAAUGAACUUGAAAAUCGAAUGGCCUACUCUGACAAAUUGCAUGAAUCAAUUGUAAUACAACUAAUGGACAUAUUAAAAAAUAAUUCAUGCUCAAUAUUUUUGAGGUCUUUAGCUAAUACAUCAAAUCUGCAAAGUUUUCAUAUUGCAUUGAAAUAUGAUGCUGGAUUGGAUCAACGAGUGUAUAAUCUGUCUAUUACAAAUGAGAUUACAGCAAUAUAGAUUGAUGAAAGUGAUGAUUGUGCUAUUCAUGUACCAUAUAUUCAAAUGUAUACUCACUGUGACAAAACACAGAAGAUAAACAAUUAUUUUGAUUGCUAUGAUCCUUUACAAUAUUCAUUAUUAUUUUCAUACGGACAAGGAGGGUGCCAUUGUGGUAUUAAAAAGUUUUGCGAUGAAAAUUAACUUCUAAAAAAAUUAUUUUGUCUGACUUUGAACAAUUGCCAAACAUAAAAUACUUUACCACUGUUGAUGAAUUCCUUGAUAUGGAAGCUGAGAAUUUGAAAAAAAAAAAAAAAAAAAUGUAAAAGAAAUACAGUGUCAGUUCGAGAAUAUUAUUGUUAUAAACUUCAGAUGAAAAAUGAUGUUGGAUAUGAAAUUUUACAUACGGAGAGAUUAUUACAACAAUAUUCGAUUGAUGAAUACAUAAAAUUAGAGACAUAAAGAUUAGAUUUUAUUUCAUUGAAUCAAGAUUUGUUCAGAAUGAGCGUGUUUCAAGGACUUCUUGACAUUUUAAGACUUGGUGAACGAGAUUCUUCUAAUGUUGGAAAGAAAAUCUUUCUCCCAAAUUUCUUUACAGACAGACUUAGAUAUAUGGGUCAACGUUAUAUGGAUGCUAUUGUUUUAGUGCAACACUUUGGAAAGGACGAUUUGUUCAUACUUAUAACAUGCAAUUCAUAUUGACUGAAAA